rnacentral:rRNA from 1 species
AGUGGCAGACGGGUGAGUAACGCGUGGGAACGUGCCCUUCGCUUCGGAAUAGCCCCGGGAAACUGGGAGUAAUACCGGAUACGCCGUAUUGGGAAAGAUUUAUCGGCGAAAGAUCGGCCCGCGUUGGAUUAGCUAGUUGGUGAGGUAAUGGCUCACAAAGGCGACGAUCCAUAGCUGGUCUGAGAGGAUGAUCAGCCACACUGGGACUGAGACACGGCCCAGACUCCUACGGGAGGCAGCAGUGGGGAAUCUUGCACAAUGGGCGAAAGCCUGAUGCAGCCAUGCCGCGUGAAUGAUGAAGGCCUUAGGGUUGUAAAAUUCUUUCGUCAGGGAUGAUAAUGACCGUACCUGAAGAAGAAGCCCCGGCUAACUUCGUGCCAGCAGCCGCGGUAAUACGAAGGGGGCUAGCGUUGUUCGGAAUUACUGGGCGUAAAGCGCACGUAGGCGGACUUUUAAGUCAGGUGUGAAAUCCCGGGGCUCAACCUCGGAACUGCAUUUGAAACUGGAAGUCUUGAGACCAGGAGAGGUUAGCGGAAUACCGAGUGUAGAGGUGAAAUUCGUAGAUAUUCGGUGGAACACCAGUGGCGAAGGCGGCUAACUGGACUGGUACUGACGCUGAGGUGCGAAAGUGUGGGGAGCAAACAGGAUUAGAUACCCUGGUAGUCCACACCGUAAACGAUGAGAGCUAGUUGUU